UUUCCUGUGGCUCAGUUGGUAGAGCAUUCCGCUAACAACGCAAAGGUUGUGGGUUCAGAACUGACAGAAAAU